rnacentral:rRNA from 1 species
AGUUUGAUAUGGCUCAGGACGAACGCUGGCGGCGUGCCUAAUACAUGCAAGUCGAACGCUUCUUUCCUCCCGAGUGCUUGCACUCAAUUGGAAAGAGGAGUGGCGGACGGGUGAGUAACACGUGGGUAACCUACCCAUCAGAGGGGGAUAACACUUGGAAACAGGUGCUAAUACCGCAUAACAGUUUAUGCCGCAUGGCAUAAGAGUGAAAGGCGCUUUCGGGUGUCGCUGAUGGAUGGACCCGCGGUGCAUUAGCUAGUUGGUGAGGUAACGGCUCACCAAGGCCACGAUGCAUAGCCGACCUGAGAGGGUGAUCGGCCACACUGGGACUGAGACACGGCCCAGACUCCUACGGGAGGCAGCAGUAGGGAAUCUUCGGCAAUGGACGAAAGUCUGACCGAGCAACGCCGCGUGAGUGAAGAAGGUUUUCGGAUCGUAAAACUCUGUUGUUAGAGAAGAACAAGGACGUUAGUAACUGAACGUCCCCUGACGGUAUCUAACCAGAAAGCCACGGCUAACUACGUGCCAGCAGCCGCGGUAAUACGUAGGUGGCAAGCGUUGUCCGGAUUUAUUGGGCGUAAAGCGAGCGCAGGCGGUUUCUUAAGUCUGAUGUGAAAGCCCCCGGCUCAACCGGGGAGGGUCAUUGGAAACUGGGAGACUUGAGUGCAGAAGAGGAGAGUGGAAUUCCAUGUGUAGCGGUGAAAUGCGUAAAUAUAUGGAGGAACACCAGUGGCGAAGGCGGCUCUCUGGUCUGUAACUGACGCUGAGGCUCAAA